rnacentral:rRNA from 1 species
UACAGAGGUCUCAAGCGUUGUUCGGAUUCAUUGGGCGUAAAGGGUGCGUAGGCGGCGCGGUAAGUCGGGUGUGAAAUCUCGGAGCUUAACUCCGAAAUUGCAUUCGAUACUGCCGUGCUCGAGGACUGGAGAGGAGACUGGAAUUCAUGGUGUAGCAGUGAAAUGCGUAGAUAUCGUAAGGAAGACCAGUGGCGAAGGCGGGUCUCUGGACAGUUCCUGACGCUGAGGCACGAAGGCCAGGGGAGGCAAACGGG